ACAGGCUUAACACAUGCAAGUCGAGGGGCAGCAUCAUCAAAGCUUGCUUUGAUGGAUGGCGACCGGCGCACGGGUGAGUAACACGUAUCCAACCUGCCGACAACACUGGGAUAGCCUUUCGAAAGAAAGAUUAAUACCGGAUGGCAUAGUUUUCCCGCAUGGGAUAAUUAUUAAAGAAUUUCGGUUGUCGAUGGGGAUGCGUUCCAUUAGGCAGUUGGCGGGGUAACGGCCCACCAAACCUACGAUGGAUAGGGGUUCUGAGAGGAAGGUCCCCCACAUUGGAACUGAGACACGGUCCAAACUCCUACGGGAGGCAGCAGUGAGGAAUAUUGGUCAAUGGACGAGAGUCUGAACCAGCCAAGUAGCGUGAAGGAUGACUGCCCUAUGGGUUGUAAACUUCUUUUAUACGGGAAUAAAGUGAGCCACGUGUGGCUUUUUGUAUGUACCGUAUGAAUAAGGAUCGGCUAACUCCGUGCCAGCAGCCGCGGUAAUACGGAGGAUCCGAGCGUUAUCCGGAUUUAUUGGGUUUAAAGGGAGCGUAGGCGGGUUGUUAAGUCAGUUGUGAAAGUUUGCGGCUCAACCGUAAAAUUGCAGUUGAUACUGGCGACCUUGAGUGCAACAGAGGUAGGCGGAAUUCGUGGUGUAGCGGUGAAAUGCUUAGAUAUCACGAAGAACUCCGAUUGCGAAGGCAGCUUACUGGAUUGUAACUGACGCUGAUGCUCGAAAGUGUGGGUAUCAAACAGGAUUAGAUACCCUGGUAGUCCACACAGUAAACGAUGAAUACUCGCUGUUGGCGAUAUACAGUCAGCGGCCAAGCGAAAGCAUUAAGUAUUCCACCUGGGGAGUACGCCGGCAACGGUGAAACUCAAAGGAAUUGACGGGGGCCCGCACAAGCGGAGGAACAUGUGGUUUAAUUCGAUGAUACGCGAGGAACCUUACCCGGGCUUAAAUUGCAACUGACGGAACCGGAAACGGUUCUUUCUUCGGACAGUUGUGAAGGUGCUGCAUGGUUGUCGUCAGCUCGUGCCGUGAGGUGUCGGCUUAAGUGCCAUAACGAGCGCAACCCUUACGGGUAGUUACCAUCAGGUUAUGCUGGGGACUCUACCCGGACUGCCGUCGUAAGAUGUGAGGAAGGUGGGGAUGACGUCAAAUCAGCACGGCCCUUACGUCCGGGGCUACACACGUGUUACAAUGGGGGGUACAGAAGGCAGCUACACGGCGACGUGGUGCUAAUCCCAAAAGCCUCUCUCAGUUCGGAUUGGAGUCUGCAACCCGACUCCAUGAAGCUGGAUUCGCUAGUAAUCGCGCAUCAGCCACGGCGCGGUGAAUACGUUCCCGGGCCUUGUACAC
rnacentral:rRNA from 1 species